rnacentral:rRNA from 1 species
UAGGGAAUCUUCGGCAAUGGACGGAAGCCUGACCGAGCAACGCCGCGUGAGUGAAGAAGGUUUUCGGAUCGUAAAGCUCUGUUGUUAGAGAAGAACGUUGGUAGGAGUGGAAAAUCUACCAAGUGACGGUAACUAACCAGAAAGGGACGGCUAACUACGUGCCAGCAGCCGCGGUAAUACGUAGGUCCCGAGCGUUGUCCGGAUUUAUUGGGCGUAAAGCGAGCGCAGACGGUUCUUUAAGUCUGAAGUUAAAGGCAGUGGCUUAACCGUUGUACGCUUUGGAAACUGGAGGGAUUGAGUGCAGAAGGGGAGGGUUGAAUUCCAUGUGUAGCGGUGAAAUGCGUAGAUAUAUGGAGGAACACCGGUGGCGAAAGCGGCUCUCUGGUCUGUAACUGACGCUGAGGCUCGAAAGCGUGGGGAGCAAACAGG